GUGCAUCUACUGAUAGGCCUGAAGUAAAAUCCUGACUUCAGGUUUGCAUUUAGAUGCAAGAUAAAAUUUCCCACUCUUACUUUCUGUCUGCUUUCCUGUGGCAGUUCAGAUUGAAUGAGGAUGGACAUUU